AAGAGAAAAGAAAAGAAAAAGAAAGAGUAUGAAGGAAUUAUUUACCAAUUUGAUGCAGAGAAUGAAAAGGAAAUAAGAUAAAUAUCUUAAAUGUAUGAGACUAGCUAACUGGAAGCAAUGAACCUAGUGAGAGACCUCAAAACAUCAAGAGAAUCAUUAAAUCACUCAAAAUAUAUCACUUUUACUUCCAGUAGAGACUGGCUGGGCAAGAUCCUGCUGGACUCACCCCAACCCAGAAAACAACUGUAAAGUUUAGACAUAAUAUUUUAAAAAGCUACCUGAAAGUACUAACGCGUGAAGAGAAGCAGGUAGAUUUUGGAGCAAGAGAGCUGUAAAGUGAGUUCCCAUUUUCAAGGUGCAAGGGUCAGGUACUGUAAGAAUGGUAAGCAAGGGUACAGAAAUACUGGUAGAAAAAUAGUUUUUCUGGCCUGAGGAACUAGAACACUGAAGGCCAGAAAACCACAGCCUCUGGCCAAGGGGAAAGGGGAUUCCAGAAAGAAAAGAAUCAGAAAAGAAAUACUCAAAUUCUGUCUACUCACAUCUUUGGUUAACCGCUGAGUCACACAUGUAUGGAACAAAUUUCAAAGCAGUUCAACAAAAGACAAAAUAUUUGAACUGAGACCAGAGCUUCCACUUAAGAAACAGUGUUUGCAUUUCUAGUCUAAUCAAGAUAAUUACCUGUCAAACAUCAACAAUUGAAAACUUUCUCAAGAGAAAAAAAAAAAUCAACUCUAGAAAGUAUUCAAAUAAGCCAAUAAAUAGCAUGAAAAGAAUAACAGAGGGACAAAAACAGAAAGGACAAAUUAAAAAGAAAUAAUACAAUGGUAGACACAAAGUUAACAGCAAUAAUUGCAUUAAAAAUAAAUGAACAAAAAAAUCCAAUUUUGGCAGAAACUGACAAACUUGAUUUAAAAAGCAAGACACAACUAUAUAUUGUCCAAAACAGAUGAAUUUCAAAUGUAAAGGCACAGAGAGGUUGGAAAUAUAUAAACAGAAGAAAAUAUAUAAUGCAAAGAGUAAGUAGAAGGCUAGAACAUCUAUAUUAACAUCAGACAAAAUAGAUUUUUUUUGAGACACAGUCUCGCUCUGUCUCCUAGGCUUGAGUGCAAUGGCACAAUCUCGGCUCACUGCAACCUCUGUCUCUUGGGUUCAAGCGAUUCUCCUGCCUCAGCCUCCCGAGUAGCUGAGAUUACAGGCCCCUGCCACCGCACCCAGCUAAUUUUUGCAUUUUUUAGUACAGACAGGGUUUCACCAUGUUGGUCAGGCUAGUUUCGAACUCCUAACCUCAGGUGAUCCACCCACCUUGGCCUCCCAAAGUGCUGGGAUUACAGGUGUAGGCCACCAUGCCCAGCCCAAAAUAGAUAUUUUUUAAGAGACAUGAUCUCACUAUGUUGCCCAGGCUAGACUCCUCAGCUCUUAUUAUUUAUCCUCAGCUAUUAUUUAUCAAGAAGAUAUAAUAAAGUUAUAUGUAUAUAUUAAUAGGAGAGCUUCAAUAUAUAAGAAGCAAAACUUGACAAUAUUAAAGGGAUAAACAGCCAAUUCCAAAAUCUUAGUUCAAGAUUUUAACUUCUUCAUUCCAGCAACUCAUAGAAUAACAAGACAAAAAAGUCAGCAAAGAUGCAGAAGAUACAAACAACAAGAUUAAGCAUCUGGACUUCAUUUAUAUCUAUGGAACUAUACCUCAAAACUACAGAAUACAUGUUCUGUCCAAGUGUUCAUGGUAUAUUCCCCAGGAUAAACCACACGCUAGGCCAUAAAAAAACCUCAGAAAAUUUAAAAGCAUUAAUAUCAUAAAGAGUACGUUAUUUGACUACAAUGAAAUUAAAUUAGAAAUCAACAGUAAGAUAACUAAGAAAACAGCUGGGCGCGGUGGCUCACGCCUGUAAUCCCAGCACUUUGGGAGGCCGAGGCAGGCGGAUCACGAGGUCAGGAGAUCGAGACCAUCCUGGCUAACACAGUGAAACCCCGUCUCUACCGAAAAUACAAAAAAUUAGCCAGGCGUGGUGGCGGUCGCCUGUAGUCCCAGCUACUUGGGAGGCUGAGGCAGGAGAAUGGCAUGAACCCAGGAGGCGGAGUUUGCAGGGAGCCGAGAUCGCGCCACUGCACUCCAGCCUGGGUGACAGAGCAAGACUCCAUCUCAAAAAAAAAAAAAAAAAAAA
rnacentral:lncRNA from 1 species